ACGAACGCUGGCGGCGUGCCUAAUACAUGCAAGUAGAACGCUGAAGGAGGAGCUUGCUUCUCCGGAUGAGUUGCGAACGGGUGAGUAACGCGUAGGUAACCUGCCUGGUAGCGGGGGAUAACUAUUGGAAACGAUAGCUAAUACCGCAUAACAGUAGAUAUUGCAUGAUAUCUGCUUGAAAGGUGCAAUUGCAUCACUACCAGAUGGACCUGCGUUGUAUUAGCUAGUUGGUGAGGUAACGGCUCACCAAGGCGACGAUACAUAGCCGACCUGAGAGGGUGAUCGGCCACACUGGGACUGAGACACGGCCCAGACUCCUACGGGAGGCAGCAGUAGGGAAUCUUCGGCAAUGGACGGAAGUCUGACCGAGCAACGCCGCGUGAGUGAAGAAGGUUUUCGGAUCGUAAAGCUCUGUCGUAAGAGAAGAACGAGUGUGAGAGUGGAAAGUUCACACUGUGACGGUAUCUUACCAGAAAGGGACGGCUAACUACGUG
rnacentral:rRNA from 1 species